rnacentral:rRNA from 2 species
GAUUGGUGCUUGCAUCAUGAUUUACAUUUGAGUGAGUGGCGAACUGGUGAGUAACACGUGGGAAACCUGCCCAGAAGCGGGGGAUAACACCUGGAAACAGAUGCUAAUACCUGCAUAACAACUUGGACCGCAUGGUCCGAGUUUGAAAGAUGGCUUCGGCUAUCACUUUUGGAUGGUCCCGCGGCGUAUUAGCUAGAUGGUGGGGUAACGGCUCACCAUGGCAAUGAUACGUAGCCGACCUGAGAGGGUAAUCGGCCACAUUGGGACUGAGACACGGCCCAAACUCCUACGGGAGGCAGCAGUAGGGAAUCUUCCACAAUGGACGAAAGUCUGAUGGAGCAACGCCGCGUGAGUGAAGAAGGGUUUCGGCUCGUAAAACUCUGUUGUUAAAGAAGAACAUAUCUGAGAGUAACUGUUCAGGUAUUGACGGUAUUUAACCAGAAAGCCACGGCUAACUACGUGCCAGCAGCCGCGGUAAUACGUAGGUGGCAAGCGUUGUCCGGAUUUAUUGGGCGUAAAGCGAGCGCAGGCGGUUUUUUAAGUCUGAUGUGAAAGCCUUCGGCUCAACCGAAGAAGUGCAUCGGAAACUGGGAAACUUGAGUGCAGAAGAGGACAGUGGAACU